CCACAAAUACAGAGAAUCCACUGUUCACACGGACAGAGUCUCCCCUAUAUUUGCACGGCGUCACACAAGUACAAGAGUUCAAACAUUAUACAACCACAACCUGAUGAAUAUACAAAUGACCAACAGAUAUACAUUCAUACACCAUUCACCACAGAUUCACAUUAAUACAUUCGAUAUUUAAAUAUAAAUCCACAUCUAUCAGUUAAAAUGUUUCCAACCACAGGAACAGGUUUUGAUACAAAAUUCACAGAAAAUCUUUUGAAAACUGUUCCAUACACAGGAACUUUUAU
rnacentral:lncRNA from 1 species